CUCCAAGGAACAUUCAACGCUGUCGGUGAGUUUGGGAUUUGAAAAAACCACUGACCGUUGACUGUACCUCGGGG
rfam:Macaca mulatta chromosome 15, whole genome shotgun sequence.